rnacentral:rRNA from 1 species
CCAGACUCCUACGGGAGGCAGCAGCAGGGAAUAUUGCGCAAUGGACGGAAGUCUGACGCAGCGACGCCGCGUGGAUGAUGAAGGCCUUCGGGUUGUAAAAUCCUUUUCCGGGCGAUGAGACAGGACACUAAGCCUGGGAAUAAGCGUCGGCUAACUACGUGCCAGCAGCCGCGGUAAGACGUAGGACGCGAGCGUUAUCCGGAUUUACUGGGCGUAAAGCGCCUGCAGGCGGUCAGGUAAGUCGGUUGUGAAAGCCCCGUGCUCAACGCGGGGAGGCCAAGCGAUACUGCGUGACUUGAGGGCGGAAGAGGGGAGUGGAAUUCCCGGUGUAGCGGUAAAAUGCGCAGAUAUCGGGAGGAACACCAGUGGCGAAGGCGGCUCCCUGGACCGCACCUGACGCUCAGAGGCGAAAGCUAGGGGAGCGAACAGGAUUAGAGACCCUGGUAGUCCUAGCCCUAAACGCUGGAUGCUAGGUGUAGGGCUGAUGAGGCUCUGUGCCGGAGCGAACGCGAUAAGCAUCCCGCCUGGGAACUACGGCCGCAAGGCUAAAACUCAAACGAAUUGACGGGGACCCGCACAAGCAGCGGAGCGUGUGGUUUAAUUCGAUGCUACACGAAGAACCUUACCUGGGUUUGACAUGCUGGUGGUACCGAACCGAAAGGGGAGGGACCCUUCGGGGAGCCAACACAGGUGCUGCAUGGCUGUCGUCAGCUCGUGCCGUGAGGUGUCGGGUUAAGUCCCGUAACGAGCGCAACCCUUGCUCUUAGUUAUACGUGUCUAAGGGGACUGCCGGCGACAAGCCGGAGGAAGGUGGGGAUGACGUCAAGUCAGCAUGGCCUUGAUAUCCAGGGCUACACACACGCUACAAUGGCCGGUACAAAGGGCAGCCAAGCCGCGAGGUGGAGCGAAUCCCAGCAAAGCCGGUCCCAGUUCGGAUUGCAGGCUGCAACCCGCCUGCAUGAAGUUGGAGUUGCUAGUAACCGCGCGUCAGCCAUAGUGCGGUGAAUACGUACCCGGGUCUUGUACACACCGCCCGUCACGUCAUGGGAGUUGGCAACGCCUGACAGCGGUAGCCUAACCGAAAGGAAGGCGCCGACUAAGGCGGGGCU